CCUACGGGAGGCAGCAGUGAGGAAUAUUGGUCAAUGGGCGCGAGCCUGAACCAGCCAAGUAGCGUGAAGGAUGACUGCCCUACGGGUUGUAAACUUCUUUUAUAAAGGAAUAAAGUGAGGCACGUGUGCCUUUUUGUAUGUACCUUAUGAAUAAGGAUCGGCUAACUCCGUGCCAGCAGCCGCGGUAAUACGGAGGAUCCGAGCGUUAUCCGGAUUUAUUGGGUUUAAAGGGAGCGUAGGUGGGUAGAUAAGGCAGUUGUGAAAGGUUGCGGCUCAACCGUAAAAGUGCAAUUGAUACUGGCAGCCUUGAGAAGAGUUGAGGUAGGCGGAAUGCGUGGGGUAGCGGUGAAAUGCUUAGAGAUCACGCAGAACUCCGAUUGCGAAGGCAGCCUACUAAACUGCAACUGACGUUGAUGCUCGAAAGUGUGGGUAUCAAACAGGAUUAGAUACCCGUGUAGUC
rnacentral:rRNA from 1 species